rfam:Triticum aestivum genome assembly, contig: Triticum_aestivum_CS42_TGACv1_scaffold_001664_1AL
AUACUACUCCCUCUGUCCGGAAAUACUUGUCAUCAAAAUGAAUAAAAAGGGAUGUGUCUAAAUGUAUUUUAGUUUUAGAUACAUCCCUUUUUGUCCAUUCUGAUGACAAGUAUUUUCAGACGGAGGGAGUACCAU